rnacentral:rRNA from 1 species
UGCCCUAGUAACGGCGAGUGAAGCCGGCAACAGCUCAAAAUUUGAAAUCUGGCUCUCGGGCCCGAGUUGUAAUUUGUAGAGGAUGCUUUUGAUGCGGUGCCUUCCGAGUUCCCUGGAACGGGACGCCAUAGAGGGUGAGAGCCCCGUCUGGUUGGAUGCCAAAUCUCUGUAAAGCUCCUUCGACGAGUCGAGUAGUUUGGGAAUGCUGCUCUAAAUGGGAGGUAUAUGUCUUCUAAAGCUAAAUACCGGCCAGAGACCGAUAGCGCACAAGUAGAGUGAUCGAAAGAUGAAAAGCACUUUGAAAAGAGAGUUAAAAAGUACGUGAAAUUGUUGAAAGGGAAGCGUUUAUGACCAGACUUGGGCUUGGUUAAUCAUCUGGGGUUCUCCCCAGUGCACUUUUCCAGUCCAGGCCAGCAUCAGUUUUCGCCGGGGGAUAAAGGCUUCGGGAAUGUGGCUCUCUCCGGGGAGUGUUAUAGCCCGUUGCGUAAUACCCUGGCGGGGACUGAGGUUCGCGCAUCUGCAAGGAUGCUGGCGUAAUGGUCAUCAACGACCCGUCUUGAAACACGGACCAAGGAGUCGUCUUCGUAUGCGAGUGUUCGGGUGUCAAACCCCUACGCGUAAUGAAAGUGAACGCAGGUGAGAGCUUCGGCGCAUCAUCGACCGAUCCUGAUGUUCUCGGAUGGAUUUGAGUAAGAGCAUACGGGGCCGGACCCGAAAGAAGGUGAACUAUGCCUGUGUAGGGUGAAGCCAGAGGAAACUCUGGUGGAGGCUCGCAGCGGUUCUGACGUGCA